rnacentral:rRNA from 1 species
CCUACGGGUGGCAGCAGUGAGGAAUAUUGGUCAAUGGUCGGGAGACUGAACCAGCCAAGCCGCGUGAGGGAGGAAGGUACAGAGUAUCGUAAACCUCUUUUGUCAGGGAACAAAGGCGGGGACGUGUCCCCGGAUGAGUGUACCUGAAGAAAAAGCAUCGGCUAACUCCGUGCCAGCAGCCGCGGUAAUACGGAGGAUGCGAGCGUUAUCCGGAUUUAUUGGGUUUAAGGGGUGCGCAGGCGGUCUGUUAAGUCAGCGGGCAAAGCCCGGGGCUCAACCCCGGCCCGCCGUUGAAACUGGCAGUCUCGAGUUGGAGAGAAGUAUGCGGAAUGCGCGGUGUAGCGGUGAAAUGCAUAGAUAUCGCGCAGAACCCCGAUUGCGAAGGCAGCAUGCCGGCUCCACACUGACGCUGAGGCACGAAAGCGUGGGUAUCGAACAGGAUUAGAUACCCUUGUAGUC